rnacentral:lncRNA from 1 species
GUCGGGGCUCAGCCGGGGUCAAGCAUCCCCGUGGGGGGGUGGAAGGGGGGACAGGACAGGGACCCCCGACACCUCUGGGGACCCUGGCUUUGUCUCCCUCCUCCUCCCUCGCUGCAGCAUCCUUUGUGUGGGGCUGGCGAGACGCCUCCCGCUCGCUGCCUUCCCCCCCCCACCCCCCGCCCCAGCCCCCCGCGCACCCCCUUGCCCGCUCCUCCUCCCUCGCACGUCAAACAUAAGCUGCUUGUCUUCACUUUCAAAGCCUUUCCCAGCUGCUCCCUCCAGCCGGGAAACGCCGGAGCCGGCCUCUGCUCUGCCCGCAGCCCCUCCGGCACCCCAACAUCCCCCCGGGGACCACCCCAACAGCCACCUCUCAGCCCCAAAAAACAACCCCAACACUCGUAUCUCAGCCCCAAAAAUCAACAGCCGCCCCAACAGCCACAUCCCAGACCCAAAAGCCAACCCCAAUACUCGUAUCUCAGCCCCAAAAACCAACAGCUACGUCUCAGCCCCCAAAACCCAACCCCAACACUCAUAUCUCAGCCCCCAAAACAGACAGUCACCCCAACAGCCACAUCUCAGACCCAAAAAGCCAACCCCAACACUCAUAUCUCAGCCCCCAAAAUCACCAGUCACUCCAACAGCCACAUCUCAGCCCCCAAAAAACAGCCCCGACACCUCCUUCUGCUCCAAAAACCAGCAGCCACCCCAAAACCUGUGUCUCAUUCCCCAAAAGCAAGAGGCACCCCAACAUCUGCAUCUCAGCCCCAAAAAAACAACCCCAACACCCGCAUCUCAGCCCCAAAACCCACCAGCCACCCCAAACCCCAUGUGUCAUCCCCAAAAACAAGAGGGACCCCAACACUCGCAUCUCAGCCCAAAAACCCAUUAGUCACCCCAUCACCUGCAUCUCAGCCCCCAAAGCUACCAGCCACCCCGAAACCCGUGUCUCAGCCCCAAAAAGCAAGAGACACCCCAACACCAGUGUCUCAAACCUGGUGCCCCAC